rnacentral:lncRNA from 1 species
CGCCUGGAGAAGGCCUGGUGAGUCAAAUGACCCAGGAAAAGUCCCUGUCACACCUAGAAUCUCUAGAAAGCUAUUUCAGAGGAACCAGAACUGCAAGGCCCUAAGGAGACAGCUGAGCACAGAGGAACCGCCUACUGCGUGCAGAGGACAAGCAUCAGGCAUACGUACACCAUGUACAGAAGUGUCACCAGAAGGUGAGUGAGCAGGCUGGAGAUCUGGCUAGGCUAAAUUCCUGCCUCUGGGCAGUACAGUUUAUGGUUGGUGUGCCGUGUGCUCUGUCCACCGGUUUUGCCAGCUGCAUGCAGGUAGUGUGCCAAAUCGACUGAAGUGCCGUUAAAGCUGAUUUCUACUAAGGGCAACUGGGAGGCUGGAGAGGAAGGUAAUGCCUUAGCCAGCAAAGACCAGAGACAAGCCAUAACAAAGAUCAGACACCAAGAGGAGAGAUUAACCCAAUUUCUGUUUUGUUACCUAGCCUGGGCUCACGUCAAACUAGCCAUGUAGCUGAGGAUGGCCUGAACUCCUUAUUCUCCCGACAACAGCUCCUAAUCAGUUUCAUCAAUUUUUGUUGGGUUUGUCUCACUGAAGAACUUUGAACCGGACCCUAGUGAGCGG